UGUAGUCUCGGUCUGCUCUGCCCAAAGCUCCACUUACUCCCACUGAGGAUCAGACAGCUGCCACCAGAGAACAGCAAGCAGACAACUCCACGAGGUGCAGACAAUUCUUACCUUUUAAUGGAUGGAGGUGAUGGCUUAUUCCCAUUUUAAAGUUAUUCAUCCUGUUCUCUAAGCUUCACUAAACAUAGGCUAACCUCAAACAGAAAGAUGAGAACACAGAUUCCUGCGGCAGUUAUUGCCUCUACAAUUUCCAUUCUUAGUGAUUUUGCAGCAGCCAUCUUGCAGUGUCAUACUUGAAAUGUGGUGGCUCAAGAAGGCAGUAUCCAUUAUUAAGGAUGCUCAACAUCCAGGAUAUGUCAUUUACUCAUUGCUACCAUCAGGGAAGAGGCUACAGGAGCCUGAAGACACACUCAACCUUUUAGAAACAGCUUCUUCCCCUCCUUCACCAGAUUCCUGAAUGGGGCCGUGCACAAUUCUGAUUUGAUGGAGACAGACGUGACAAGCACAGAGGAACAUCUGGAGAAACUUCUGAA